CUCGCCAUCCCUCCCCGCCGCCGCCGCCUGCCGCCGCUGCUCGCCAUCCCACCCGCCGCCGCCGCUCGCCAUCCCUCCCCGAGCGGCACUCCCAGACCCUCAACACGCCGCGCGCCGCCGCUCGCCAUCCCCCGCCGCCGCCGCUCCCACACCCUAAGCACGCCGCGCUCCGCCGUCGUCGCGUCCUCUGAUCCUCGCGUCACCGCCAGUCGCCAUCCCUCGCCACCGCCGCCGCCGCUCGGCAUCCCCCGCAUCCGCCGCUCGCUCCAUCGACGAUCUGCGCCGCCUCGACCUCUGCUCGUGUAGAGCAUGCCUAUCCCCCGGCCGAUUCGCAGCGUGGCUGGAGAAGGAAGCUCGAGGCCUCGAGCGCUGCCGCCCAUUCAUCUCCCGAGCCCAAGUGCCGCCGGCCGAUUGGAGCCUGUCCUUCGCCGAUUCGAGCCAGUCCGCGCCGAUUCGUCGUCCUCCACAGGUGGUCCUCUCCUCCCCCGCUCGAGCGCGGCUGCCGCUGUGUGAGCUACACCCCCGCUCAAGCCCAUCUCUGCCCCAAGCUUGACGCCGGUGUCGCUGCUGCCCACAGGCCCUCCGCCCCAAGGUUGUCAGGCUGGAGGUCCCGCAGGUCCACUGCGGAGCUCGCUCACGCAGGCCCGAAGUCUGGAUCUCGCACGGAUCCGGCAAGGACUGGUCCGGCAGCUCCCUGCUACGACGUUCUUAUCGGGUGGCUUUCCAUUGGAGGCAGUGGUGAGAUUGAAGCCUUAGGGGCUAGGUAAGAGGCCGAGAGCAAUGAGCUUCAAGGGUGUACAAAGGCGCGGCCAGGAUGACAAAUGCGGAAGAGAGACCUGGACCGGAGAGAUACUGCAGACUUCGGGCCCGCCGUCCCAGACCCUACUUCUUCAUCCCAGUGCUGAUUCCAUUUUGUGCUAACAUUGAUGCUUCAAGCAGUCGAUUUGCUUGUUUCGGCUGCGCAGCAACUGCUACAUGGCGCAGCCGAUGGCUUGCUCGGUGGGCAAGCUGCCUGACAGCCUUGCUGGCAGGGAUCCUUAAUGAUGCGGGCAACACAGAUCUAGCGACAGCCAGCACAUGAUUGAUGCUAGUGACGCAUCAUCUUGUGCAAGACCAAGAACAGCAACAUCGAAUCCGUACUGGACAAAGCACGAGAGAUAUGUUCUGCAAACUCCUUCAAGAACCACUCCAAGCUAGGUCCUCUCCUUCGCAUGGGUUUUCACCUGGUUCACCGCACGUCGCACAAAACUGACGUUGGGGAGACGAACAGACGUUUAGUGAGCAAUCAUUUGUUUUGUGAACAACCAUAUGUCCUUCAGAUUUAGUGCAUUAGUAAUUAUAAUAUAUAAACAAUUAUUUGUUUUGUGAGCAAUGUUAUUUGUUUUUUUCGAAAUGUCAGUUUGAUUGCCAUUUGCAUUCAAUACUUGAUUUCUUUGUUCUCAGUUAUCUCUGGCACUUGUGUGUACUGUGUAGUCUGAAAAAUUUGUAAUAUUUUUUUCAAU